UGGGCUAGCUUUGCUUGAGG
rnacentral:siRNA from 1 species